AUACGUAGGGGGCGAGCGUUGUCCGGAAUCAUUGGGCGUAAAGCGCGCGCAGGCGGUCCCUUAAGUCUGAUGUGAAAUCUUGCGGCUCAACCGCAAGGGGUCAUUGGAAACUGGGGGACUUGAGUGCAGGAGAGGGAAGCGGAAUUCCAUGUGUAGCGAUGAAAUGCGUAGAGAUAUGGAGGAACACCAGUGGCGAAGGCGGCUUCCUGGCCUGUAACUGACGCUCAGGCGCGAAAGCGUGGGGAGCAAACAGGAUUAGAUACCCUGGUAGUCCACGCCGUAAGCGAUGAGUGCUAGGUGUUGGAGGGGUUUUCCCUUUAGUGCUGGAGCUAACGCAUUAAGCACUCCGCCUGGGGAGUACGGCCGCAAGGCUGAA
rnacentral:rRNA from 1 species